AGAGACAGCAGCAGCCGCGGUAAUACGUAGGGUGCAAGCGUUAAUCGGAAUUACUGGGCGUAAAGCGUGCGCAGGCGGUUAUAUAAGACAGAUGUGAAAUCCCCGGGCUCAACCUGGGAACUGCAUUUGUGACUGUAUAGCUAGAGUAUGGCAGAGGGGGAUGGAAUUCCGCGUAUAGCAGUGAAAUGCGUAGAUAUGCGGAGGAACACCGAUGGCGAAGGCAGUCCCCUGGGCCUGUACUGACGCUCAUGCACGAAAGCGUGGGGAGCAAACAGGAUUAGAUACCCGCGUAGUCCCUGUCUCUUAUAA
rnacentral:rRNA from 1 species